GAUGAACGCUGGCGGCGUGCCUAAUACAUGCAAGUCGAGCGAACAGAUAAGGAGCUUGCUCCUUUGACGUUAGCGGCGGACGGGUGAGUAACACGUGGGUAACGUACCUAUAAGACUGGGAUAACUUCGGGAAACCGGAGCUAAUACCGGAUAACAUUUGGAACCGCAUGGUUCUAAAGUGAAAGAUGGUUUUGCUAUCACUUAUAGAUGGACCCGCGCCGUAUUAGCUAGUUGGUAAGGUAACGGCUUACCAAGGCAACGAUACGUAGCCGACCUGAGAGGGUGAUCGGCCACACUGGAACUGAGACACGGUCCAGACUCCUACGGGAGGCAGCAGUAGGGAAUCUUCCGCAAAGGGCGAAAGCCUGACGGAGCAACGCCGCGUGAGUGAUGAAGGGUUUCGGCUCGUAAAACUCUGUUAUUAGGGAAGAACAAAUGUGUAAGUAACUGUGCACGUCUUGACGGUACCUAAUCAGAAAGCCACGGCUAACUACGUG
rnacentral:rRNA from 1 species